UUCUAUGGCGGGCGGUGCGUGGAGGGCUUCGGCCCUGCCGGUUCCGUUUGUCCGGUCUGCCAACCCGCACCGUCCGCCACC
rnacentral:antisense_RNA from 22 species